rnacentral:rRNA from 1 species
UACAGAGGUCUCAAGCGUUGUUCGGAUUCAUUGGGCGGAAAGGGUGUGUAGGUGGCUCCGUAAGUCGGGUGUGAAAUUUCGGAGCUUAACUCCGAAACUGCAUUCGAUACUGCGGUGCUUGAGGACUGGAGAGGAGACUGGAAUUCAUGGUGUAGCAGUGAAAUGCGUAGAGAUCAUGAGGAAGACCAGUGGCGAAGGCGGGUCUCUGGACAGUUCCUGACACUGAGACACGAAGGCCAGGGGAGCAAACGGG